rnacentral:lncRNA from 1 species
CUUACAGAGCCCCACAGGCAGCCCCGUGCAGGCCCUGCCAGUGAGUCCAGGGUUUUAUUUCAAGCCGUCCUUCCCCGUCAAGCUCAUCGCCUGCGUUUGGCCACACACUCGCAGCUCUCCGAGCACAGCUGGUUUUUUCCUCUUUGUUUACUCUUUCAACAAAAGCUGGAUUCUAGACCAAGCUGUUAAGUCCUGGAGAUGCAGAAAGGAACAAGACAAACACAGGCUCAGCCCUCCAAAGCUUUCAGAAACAAGACCGACCACAAAGUGACUGAGCCAGUUAACCCAGGCAAGAGCUGCCGUCCUGCCUGGGGACCCCUAUCUUUUUACAUGUUAUUGUAGAUCAGUGGCCCGCUGCUGCAAUCAAGAACUCUCGAUGGGCUGUCUGGAAUUUCUAAAUCAGCGCUGCCGAGAGCCCGGCGGAUCAAGCAGGCGGGCUCCCCGGCGGGGGUGAGAAGUGCUCAACUCCAGCAGACGACUGCGAGGCCCUGGGCUCCUGAGAGCAGCCCCCAAAGGUCAGCUCAAGGAGGAGACUGGCCUCCCUGCUCUGAGGGCAACGGAUGCACACUGUGGCCUCAGGGGCUCCCCCAGCAUCCUUUAGCCCAGAUGCUAAACAACUCAUCAGCCUUCUCUAAUGACUUUGGUUCCCAGCAUUGUCCUUGCAAUUACGGGGCAGAGACGAGAGGGGCAGAUGGUCAGGUAUUCGAUCAGCCAUCAUCGAACUGAAGCACUCAGACCCCUGGGGUACAUAGUGACUUUCUAGGGUUCACAGGCACAGACAGUUUGCAGAUAAUCGAUUUCCAGACCUUUGACUGACGUGCGUGCUCCGUGGGUUCUUCCUUUCCACAUCCUCUUUUACAAAUGCCCUUCUUCCACUUUAUAAAAGAAGGAUUGAUCAGUCGGGACUCCAGCAGGAAACAGAUGGCACACCCACAUUUGCUAAUUUCAGGCUAGGUUCAUAAAGGCACGACACAGAACCUGCAGGCAAGAUGAAGGGAAAUUACAAAGGACAGGUCCCUGGCUCUUACCAGUGCGGCCCUGGGCGGGGGGAGGGGAGGGAGAGUU